rnacentral:rRNA from 1 species
GACGAACGCUGGCGGCGUGCUUAACACAUGCAAGUCGAACGAAGUGGCGAACGGGUGAGUAACGCGUAAUCAACCUGCCCUUCCGAGGGGGACAACAGUUGGAAACGACUGCUAAUACCGCAUACUGAAGGCGGGGCUUGCGUCUGCUUAGCUAGUUGGAGGGGUAACGGCCCACCAAGGCGAUGAUCAGGAGUCGGUCUGAGAGGAUGACCGGCCACAAUGGGACUGAGACACGGCCCAGACUCCUACGGGAGGCAGCAGUGGGGAAUCUGCCGCAAUGGACGAAAGUCUGACGGAGCAACGCCGCGUGAGUGAAGACGGCCUUCGGGUUGUAAAGCUCUGUUAAGCGGGACGCGGUACCGGAAUAGAAAGCCACGGCUAACUACGUGCCAGCAGCCGCGGUAAUAC